UACGUAGGGCGCAAGCGUUGUCCGGAAUUAUUGGGCGUAAAGAGCUCGUAGGUGGCGUGUCGCGUCUGCCGUGAAAGCCCAUGGCUUAACUGUGGGUCUGCGGUGGAUACGGGCAGGCUGGAGGCUGGUAGGGGCAAGCGGAAUUCCUGGUGUAGCGGUGAAAUGCGCAGAUAUCAGGAAGAACACCAAUGGCGAAAGCAGCUUUCUGGGACGGUACUGACGCUGAGACGCGAAAGCGUGGGGAGCGAACAGG
rnacentral:rRNA from 1 species